rnacentral:rRNA from 1 species
GGGCUUUCGGAGUACUGACAGGUUGUAGCUGGCCUCUCGGGGCAUGUGCACACCUGGCUCAUCCACUCUUCAACCUCUGUGCACUUAUUGUAGGUCGGCAGAAGGGCGAGUCUAACAGCUCGCUCGGAAGCCUUCCUAUGUUUUAUUACAAACGCUUCAGUUUAAGAAUGUAAACCUGCGUAUAACGCAUCUAUAUACAACUUUCAGCAACGGAUCUCUUGGCUCUCGCAUCGAUGAAGAACGCAGCGAAAUGCGAUAAGUAAUGUGAAUUGCAGAAUUCAGUGAAUCAUCGAAUCUUUGAACGCACCUUGCGCUCCCUGGUAUUCCGGGGAGCAUGCCUGUUUGAGUGUCAUGGUAUUCUCAUCCUUCAUAACUUUUGUUAUCGAAGGCAUGGACUUGGAGGUCGUGCUGGUUCCUCGUUGAAUCGGCUCCUCUUAAAUGCAUUAGCGUGAGUGUAACGGAUCGCUUCGGUGUGAUAAUUAUCUGCGCCGUGGUCGUGAAGUAACAUAAGCUUGCGCUUCUACCGUCCUUAAGUUGGACAACUUACUUUGACAUCUGACCUCAAUCAGGCAGGACUACCCGCUGAACUAAGCAACUA